rnacentral:lncRNA from 1 species
GAUUGCAGAUAUGGAUUUAGUAAAAAUCUCGCCAAAGUUUUUGUUGGAGGAGGUUGUCAUAGAUUAUCACUGCCUGCACCAAUUUUUGGCAUUGAAGUUAGAGAUCGUGUUUUCUUUAGAUCCUUUGUCGAUGUGGUUCUAGGAUAAAAUGAAGAGUUAUCUAAAGUUGCUAGGCUCUGGGGAUAAAACCUCACCUUCCAACGCUGAACAAAAAGCAGCAAUUGGAUCGAGCGAGCUCAAAUUUGAGUUUGAACGUGAG